rnacentral:rRNA from 1 species
UACGUAGGGUGCAAGCGUUGUCCGGAAUUAUUGGGCGUAAAGAGCUCGUAGGCGGUUUGUCGCGUCUGCUGUGAAAACUCGGGGCUUAACCCCGGGCCUGCAGUGGGUACGGGCAGACUAGAGUGCGGUAGGGGGAGACUGGAAUUCCUGGUGUAGCGGUGAAAUGCGCAGAUAUCAGGAGGAACACCCGUGGCGAAGGCGGCUCUCUGGGACGGUACUGACGCUGAGACGCGAAAGCGUGGGGAGCGAACAGG